rnacentral:rRNA from 1 species
GACGAACGCUGGCGGCGUGCUUAACACAUGCAAGUCGAACGGAAAGGCCCUGCUUUUGUGGGGUGCUCGAGUGGCGAACGGGUGAGUAACACGUGAGUAACCUGCCCUUGACUUUGGGAUAACUUCAGGAAACUGGGGCUAAUACCGGAUAGGAGCUCCUGCUGCAUGGUGGGGGUUGGAAAGUUUCGGCGGUUGGGGAUGGACUCGCGGCUUAUCAGCUUGUUGGUGGGGUAGUGGCUUACCAAGGCUUUGACGGGUAGCCGGCCUGAGAGGGUGACCGGCCACAUUGGGACUGGGAACCGGCCCAGGCCCCUACGGGGGGAAGGGGGGGGGAAUUUUGCACAAGGGGCGGAAGCCUGAUGCAGCAACGCCGGGGGGGGGAUGACGGCCUUCGGGUUGUAAACCGCUUUCGCCGGUGACGAAGGGGGAGUGACGGUAAUGGGUAAAGAAGCACCGGCUAACUACGU